UGGGGGAUAUUGCACAAUGGGCGAAAGCCUGAUGCAGCGACGCCGCGUGGGGGAUGAAGGCUUUCGGGUUGUAAACCUCUUUCGCUAUCGAACAAGGCCCGCUUAGGGUGGGUUGAGGGUAGGUGGAGAAGAAGCGCCGGCUAACUACGUGCCAGCAGCCGCGGUAAUACGUAGGGCGCGAGCGUUGCCCGGAAUUAUUGGGCGUAAAGGGCUUGUAGGCGGCUUGUUGCGCCUGCUGUGAAAACGCGGGGCUUAACUUCGCGCGUGCAGUGGGUACGGGCAGGCUUGAGUGUGGUAGGGGUGACUGGAAUUCCAGGUGUAGCGGUGGAAUGCGCAGAUAUCUGGAGGAACACCGAUGGCGAAGGCAGGUCCCUGGGCCAUUACUGACGCUGAGGAGCGAAAGCAUGGGUAGCGAACAGG
rnacentral:rRNA from 1 species